rnacentral:lncRNA from 1 species
UUUGGACUCGCGAAGGUGUCAAGCGUCUGGGAAUUGACGCGAGUGAUCCCGCGAGGCGUCUCUGUUUUGUCUCAUACAACAAUGGUGCCAAGCACAACCGUGUUUUCGAGGGUGUCGUCUCUUCACUGCCGCUAAAGUGCGUCUGUAAACAAGUGCAGACGCAUUCUAGACUCGCGUACAUAUGCUUUUCCCUGUACAGGCUAAACUAUCUUCAAACAGUGCCGCACGGAAUAUCGAUCGUGAGAACGAAAAACCAGAGAGAUCAGCAUGCAAUGCCGCUUUAUAGAAUUCUUCCAGGAACUAAAGAAAGCAACAAAACAAAAGGAGAACACAGGAAAAUAUUUCACGUUGAUACUCCGCAAAGUGCGAAAACUAAAAGGCG